AAUGCAGAGGCCCCGAACCUCCGCCUCGGUCAUCUGCACGAUCUUCCCCGGGCGACAUCCCCGUACUGGAGAGAGGAGAGAGAAAGAGGACCAUGAAUGCAACGCUGAACUAUUAUGUGAGAAUCCCAUGAAAUAACAUAUUCUGAACUAGUCAUGUGCGAUCACUUGUUGUGAGAGCCAUCUUGCACCGACAACAUCUCAGCAAAACCGAUCACUCAUGAGAGAUGCCAAGUCCAACUCCCAUUCCAAACGCGAGCGACACAAUCAACAAGUCGCGGCCGUCCAAGCUGAGAAACAGAAAGAACAGCGCGUGAAGGAUUAACAAGCUUUCCAGAGUUUCGCCAGCAGAAGGCCAACACAAAGUGGAUUGUAGUUUCUGAACCAAUGGAACAAUGAUGCAUAUUAUUGAUCAAUUCCAACCAUCUGGCAGCAAUGUAAACAUAUAGGGGGACUGCAAGCAACACAUGGCAUCGGCAGUGUGACGGCUGAAAAAAUGUAGAUAAGAACUUUUUGUGGAGAAGCCAGAGUAACACACACUACUUUCUUCAGUCUCUUGUAAUUUUAGUGGUUAAUUUAGUGUUAAUUUAGUUAUUCACCUGAACUAAAAGAUAAAAAAUGGAAUG